ACCCACCUCGCCGAUAAGUUCUAAGUAUGUACGUUGUGCACCCCCUUCUGCCCACCCCUUGCUGUUGCAGGCUUCCACCGUAUGCUGGUGUGACUUUCUUUUGUGUUCCGACCAUACUUUUCCCCAAAUUGUGUUUGGCAGGUUGGAUAGGUAACUGGCUGCUACCAUGUGAAUUAUUACUGCUUCUGAACCUCUGAUCGGUAUAGGUUGGAUGAACAUCUCUGAAUCACAUGUAUAGCAACUACCAAAUUUGUUGUUACUACUGUACCAGCUUCUUUCAAGUAAAUUAUUGGUUAGCAAUUAUGAUGUUCUAGCCUGUUAGAAUCACAACGCAUGAUAACACAACCAAAAAAUUGAUAUGUCUGGCAUGUUUGAUCUGAUUUUACUCCAUGACCACAGCGCAGAACAAAAAUCUAUGAUAACCUCUUGCUGACACCUUGCCAUGUGCGCCAUUAUCAAGCCUGAUUCAGAGAAGGCAAUCAGUUUUCUAUUUUGCUCAUUUAUUUUACCCAGAAUAGUAAUUGGGUUAACUUAACUUGCUAUGUCGGUCUAUGCUGGAGCUGACAUGCUGUGCCUUUCAUUUUAGAUGCACACAAGUAAGCAAACUGCAGACGAGAAGGAAAAUAAGUUUCUCUCCGUGGUUCACUUGCCGUUGUUCUCUGUCCACGAGACAGAGCUUCAGUCUCUCAUAACUCGUAAUAGGUCGAUGUACUAUCACCUGCAUCCGUCAUCUACUCGUGGAGCUCUUGAGAUACUUCAGAUACGACACAGUGGCCUACGUGUCCAAAUGGCAGGGUUAUAUUCAACAAUUGUAGAAAGCUGUAGAAAAUAUAACACACAAUUUUUUCUUGCAUAUAUAGAUUUACUUGAUAUUUUUAGUAAUCAAAUAAUUUGGUAUUCAGUGUUUACUUGAAUAUUUUAUAUCGAUUU
rnacentral:lncRNA from 1 species